rnacentral:rRNA from 1 species
UACGUAGGGUGCAAGCGUUGUCCGGAUUUAUUGGGCGUAAAGAGCUCGUAGGCGGUCUGUCGCGUCGGAUGUGAAAACCCAGGGCUCAACCCUGGGCCUGCAUUCGAUACGGGCAGACUAGAGUGUGGCAGGGGAGACUGGAAUUCCUGGUGUAGCGGUGAAAUGCGCAGAUAUCAGGAGGAACACCGGUGGCGAAGGCGGCGACCUGGUCCGAUACUGACGCUGAGGCGCGAAAGCGUGGGGAGCAAACAGG